rnacentral:lncRNA from 1 species
CGACUUCUCCCUGUCGCUCUGGUAUGGUCGCUCUGAGCUUCGGGAGCGACUUCAGCACGUCGCUCUGGAAGGUCGCUCCGAGGUGUAAAUGUGUGUCUCCAGACGUGAAAACGCGAGCGACCUUGUGCAGUCGCUCUGGAUGAGUCGCUCCAGGAUGUGGUGCACAGCGACCUCAUGCCGUCGCUCCGAGAGGUCGCUCCGGCUGUGCUCGUCCA